rnacentral:rRNA from 1 species
CAGUCGCCACGGUAAUACGUAGGGUGCAAGCGUUAAUCGGAAUUACUGGGCGUAAAGCGUGCGCAGGCGGUUUGUUAAGACAGAUGUGAAAUCCCCGGGCUCAACCUGGGAACUGCAUUUGUGACUGGCAAGCUAGAGUCUGGCAGAGGGGGGUGGAAUUCCGCGUGUAGCAGUGAAAUGCGUAGAUAUGCGGAGGAACACCGAUGGCGAAGGCAGCCCCCUGGGCCAACACUGACGCUCAUGCACGAAAGCGUGGGGAGCAAACAGGAUUAGAGACCCCCGUAGUCCCUGUCUCUUAUAA